CCUACGGGGGGCUGCAGUGAGGAAUAUUGGUCAAUGGGCGCGAGCCUGAACCAGCCAAGUAGCGUGAAGGAUGACUGCCCUACGGGUUGUAAACUUCUUUUAUAAAGGAAUAAAGUGAGGCACGUGUGCCUUUUUGUAUGUACUUUAUGAAUAAGGAUCGGCUAACUCCGUGCCAGCAGCCGCGGUAAUACGGAGGAUCCGAGCGUUAUCCGAAUUUAUUGGGUUUAAAGGGAGCGUAGAUGGGUUGUUAAGUCAGUUGUGAAAGUUUGCGGCUCAACCGUAAAAUUGCAAUUGAUACUGGCAGUCUUGAGUACAGUUGAGGUAGGCGGAAUUCGUGGUGUAGCGGUGAAAUGCUUAGAUAUCAGGAGGAACAUCGGUGGCGUAAGCGCUUUACUGGGCCGUAAUUGACGCUGAGGAACGAAAGCCAGGGUAGCAAAUGGGAUUAGAUACCCGAGUAGUC
rnacentral:rRNA from 1 species